rnacentral:rRNA from 1 species
GGAUUAGGCAUGCAAGUCGAACGGUAUAAACCUUUCGGGGUUUAGAGAGUGGCGAACGGGUGAGUAACACGUAGGUAAUCUACCCUCAAAACGGGGACAACCCAGGGAAACUUGGGCUAAUACCGGAUGCGUGCAAGCAAUGUUUUGGUUGUUAAUGCUAUUCACGGAAGUGAGUAGUGUUAAUGGUUGAGAGCAUUAUUUGCAUAAAAGGUGGCAUAUGCUGCCGUUUGAGGAUGAGCCUGCGUCCUAUUAGUUAGUUGGUGAGGUAAUGGCUUACCAAGGCGAUGAUAGGUAGGCGGCCUUAACGGGUGGUCGCCCACACUGGGAUUGAGAGACGGCCCAGACUCCUACGGGAGGCAGCAGUCGAGAAUAGUCUACAAUGGACGGAAGUCUGAUAGUGCGACGCCGCGUGAACGAAGAAUCCCUUCGGGGUGUAAAGUUCUUUUAUACGUGAGCAGUGCCCUUUAUAUGAAUAGUAUAGAGGGAGGGAUUUAAGCGUAUGAAUAAGCAACGGCUAACUCCGUGCCAGCAGCCGCGGUAACACAGGGGUUGCAAGCGUUGUCCGGAAUUACUAGGCGUAAAGUGCAGGUAGGCGGAUAGAUAAGUUUAAGGUUAAAGGGUUCCGGCUUACCCGGUAAUAAGGCGUUAGAUACUGUUUAUCUGGAAUGCGGGUGAGGGAGACAGAAUUCCUGGUGUAGCGGUGGAAUGCGCAGAGAUCAGGAAGAAUACCGAAGGGGGAAGGCCAGUCUUCCAAACCGAUAUUGACGCUAAACUGCGGAAGGUGGGGGGAUCAAACAGGAUUAAAUACCCUGUUAGUCCACACAGUAAACGAUAAUCACUAGGUGGUGGGGUUCGUAUAGGACUCAGUGCCGGAGCUAACGCGAUAAGUGAUUCGCCCUGGGGAGUAGAAUGGCAAGGUUGAAACUCAAAGGAAUUGACGGGGGCCCGCACAAGCGGUGGAGCAUGUGGCUUAAUUCGAUGCAACGCGAAGAACCUUACCCGGGUUUGACAUGCAGCUGCACGGCCUGCGAAAGCAGGCCUCCUUCGAGGGUGCUGCACAGGUGCUGCAUGGCUGUCGUCAGUUCGUGCCGUGAGGUGUUUGGUUAAGUCCAGCAACGAACGCAACCCCUGUGUCCAGUUGCCAGCGCGUAACGGCGGGAACUCUGGACAGACUGCCCGUUCACACGGGAGGAAGGUGGGGACGACGUCAAGUCAGUAUGGCCCUUACAUCCGGGGCUGCACACGUGCUACAAUGGCCGGUACAAAGGGAAGCGAGGCCGCGAGGCGGAGCCAACCCCCAAAACCGGCCCCAGUUCAGAUCGGGGUCUGCAACCCGACCCCGUGAAGUCGGAUUUGCUAGUAACGGCGCAUCAGCUACGGCGCCGUGAAUACGUUCCCGGGCCUUGUAGACACCGCCCG